GUUAACGUAGCACAACCUGGUACUGCAAAAGAUCUAAGCCCUUUUCACGGAGACUCAAAUUCUCCCGUUAACU
rnacentral:tRNA from 1 species